GACGAACGCUGGCGGCGUGCUUAACACAUGCAAGUCGAGCGGUAAGGCCCUUUCGGGGGUACGACGAGCGGCGAACGGGUGAGUAACACGUGGGUGACCUGCCCUCAGCUCUGGGAUAAGCCUGGGAAACCGGGUCUAAUACUGGAUAUGACUCCAUGACGCAUGUUGUGGGGUGGAAAGCCUUGUGCGGCUGAGGAUGGGCCCGCGGCCCAUCAGCUUGUUGGUGGGGUGAGGCCUACCAAGGCGACGACGGGUAGCCGGCCUGAGAGGGCGACCGGCCACACGUGGGCUGAGAC
rnacentral:rRNA from 1 species